GCAGAGGAACAGAGAAUACUGCUCGGAGGAUAAAAACGAGCCAACUGAAGAAGACCUGGUGUUGGCUACACCAGACAAAGGUCUACACAACCGUUUCAAUGGGGCUCGAAAGCUAAUGAAGGGUGUGGAGUGUAUCAAAAACCGCCAUAUGAACAAUACUGAAGUAGCAACCAAAAAACCUAGAAAGGACAACAAAGAGAAAUCCUGGAAGUGAAACAAAAAGAGAAUGAAAGACUGGCCAGAAGGCUUCAAACGCGGAACUGAACCGGCAGAAGACUCUCUGAGAUCAAAACUGGGACUAUGCAAAUGAGUGAAUCUAAAGAAAAGAAAGAAGAAAAGAUGGAAUAAUGGGGAAUAUAGUAUUGGGGACUUGGUGAAAACUCCCCAAAUUUGAUGAAAGAAAGAAACCAUCUAAGAAGCUGAGUUUAAUCCAUGUAGGCAGAACUAUGUCCAAAUGAAAGACGCAUGUUAUAACCAAGCUAUUGGAAGACAAAGAUAAGAUGACUUAAAAUCAGUAAGAGAGAAAUUAAGACAGAUAAGAGGGGCCCACCUCUCCUUUGUGGCACUGGAAUAGGAGUGAAGUACUAUUAAGGCACUAUUGAAUUCUGUUAAAGUUAAUCGUAAGACUUUAUCACAAGCAUUCCUUUGAAUGUUGUAAAGGAUCACACAGAAACACAGAGCCGAUCAAGGAUUGCCCACAGAGGGGAGAGGAGCGCUGUGGGAAGAUGGGGUAAUGGCAGGCCACUGUCAAUGAAUACAAGGUUUCUUCUGGGGAGUUUAAAACGUUCCCUGCCUCCAGCUCCGCGGUGGUCUCCUGACCCUCCUCAUCCUUCCGACUUCAGCUUAGACUCCCCUGGAAGGCUCCCAGGCC
rnacentral:lncRNA from 1 species